rnacentral:rRNA from 1 species
CACCGCGGUUAUACGAGAGGCUCAAGUUGAUGUAACUCGGCGUAAUGUGUGGUCAUAGAUUUACUUUUUAUAGGACCGAACAAUCUCAAGGCAGUUAUAAGCAUUCGCGAUCAAGAAGCCCAGUCACGAAGGUAGUCCUAGUAUACUUAAAUCCACGAAAGCCAAAAUA